AUUAAAGCGUAGAUAGGGACAGUAGUUUCUCUUACCUCUUAUAAUAGCGAACCGGGGAUGGUGAAAGCUCGGUAUAAGGAGAGAAAUGAAGAUCACCCUAGAGCACGGGACUGAACGCUCAUUGCCUCUAAGUCUUGUCGUCACAUUCACGUUACGAAUGCUAAAGUGGACUAAAACUGCAACCAAGCAGUUUGUCAAUUUAGGGUGGUACCACGGGAGAUCCUCUCGUCCCUUUC
rnacentral:ncRNA from 1 species